GGACAGGGAAUUGGAUAUAUCUGCUUCCUUACACAAUAACUAGAUUUCAAUUGCUUGUAUAAACAGGACAGUAGAGUUUGUCUGCAAGAGUUAAGAAAGGAGUGGUUAAUAUUUUAGUGUUUGAUAAAAUUCAUAAAAUGACCAUUACUACUUUUAGUCGGCCAUAAUGGCAACACAAAGACCAGAGAAGACCAGACGAUCAUAUUAACCUUAUCAACAAAUGACGUCUCAAACUAAGUCAUUCCUUUACAUCAGUAUCCACAUCAUUGGAAAAAUAUCAUGAACCAGCUGCCAAUAUUUAAC
rnacentral:lncRNA from 1 species